rnacentral:lncRNA from 1 species
GUUUGCAGAGCACUGAACUUCUUCUUUUCCUUUUUCUUCUCCUUCUCCUCCUCUUCCUCUUUCUUCUCCUCCUCCUCCUCUUUCUCCUCCUCCUUUCUCCUCCUCUUCCUCCUCUUUCUCCUCCUCCUCCUCUUCUCCUUCUCCUGCUCCUCUUUCUUCUUCUUCUCCUCCUCCUCCUCCUCCUCCUCUUUCUUCUUCUUCCCCAUCUUCUCUUUCUUCCCCAUCUUCUUCUUCUUCUUCCCCUUCUCCUCCUCCUCUUCCUUCUCUUCCUCUUCCCCUUUCUCUCCCCUCUUUCCCUCCUCCCUCCUCCCCCUCAUCCUCCUCCUCCUCCUUCUCCUCCUCCUCUUUCUUCUUCUUCUUCUCCUCCUCCUGCUCCUCCUCUUUCUUCUUCUUCUUCUUCCCCAUAUUCUUCUUCUUCCCCUUCUCCUCCUCCUUCUCUUCCUCCUCAUCUUUCUCCUUCUCCUCCUCCUCCCCCUCAUCCUCCUCUUCCUCCUUCUCCUCUUUCUUCUUCUUCAUCUUCUUCUUCUUUGCCCCAACUCCUUCUUGACCACCAGGGGGCGCUCCAAGAGAACCGCAUUUGGGACAAGAAAAAAUGGACUCUGUUGCCACUUGAUCAGGAACUGUGGAAUAGUCUUCCAAACCACCUGGAUGGAAUAGAAAUAUCUACAAGCGUCAUCCAAGGCACUGCCCGUAAGCACUUAGUACAAUGCUCUGAACAUCGUAAGUGAUCGAUAAAUGCCAUUGAUUGAUCAACUGAUUGAUUGAGCUCUACCUACCGAUCAGCAUGUCUAGUGGAUGGACCACAGGCCUGGGAGUCAGAAGGAACUGGGUUCUAAUCCCAGCUCUGCCAAUUGUCUGCUGUGUGGUCUUGGACAUGUCACUUCACUUCACCAUGCCUCAGUUACCUCAUCUGAAAAAUAGUGAUUGAGACAGUGAGUGCCAUGUGGGACAUGGACUGUGUCCCACCUACUUGAUUAUUUUGUAUCCACCUUAUCUUGUAUCAGUAUAGCACAGUAUCUGGAACAAUAAUAAUAAUAAUAAUAGUAUUUGUUAAGUGCUUACUAUGUGCCAAGCACUGUUCUAAGAGCUGGG